rnacentral:rRNA from 1 species
GACGAACGCUGGCGGCGUGCUUAACACAUGCAAGUCGAACGGAAAGGCCCUGCUUUUGUGGGGUGCUCGAGUGGCGAACGGGUGAGUAACACGUGAGUAACCUGCCCUUGACUUUGGGAUAACUUCAGGAAACUGGGGCUAAUACCGGAUAGGAGCUCCUGCUGCAUGGUGGGGGUUGGAAAGUUUCGGCGGUUGGGGAUGGACUCGCGGCUUAUCAGCUUGUUGGUGGGGUAGUGGCUUACCAAGGUUUUGACGGGUAGCCGGCCUGAGAGGGUGACCGGCCACAUUGGGACUGAGAUACGGCCCAGACUGCUACGGGAGGCAGCAGUGGGGAAUAUUGCACAAUGGGCGGAAGCCGGAUGCAGCAACGCCGCGUGCGGGAUGACGGCCUUCGGGUUGUAAACCGCUUUCGCCUGUGACGAAGCGUGAGUGACGGUAAUGGGUAAAGAAGCACCGGCUAACUACGUG